ensembl:lncRNA
GAGAAACCCCUUCAUUUCAUGUCUUGAUGCAUGCUCAAUCAUCCAGCUGGCUGCAGGUUUCCCCAAUCUUAUAAACAGUAAAUUUGCACAAUGACUGAAACUGGGCAGUGGGCUGUGAGGUCAUAACCUCACAACAUCCAACCAACUGAACUACACCGUCUACCAGAAAGAGAAGACUGAAUGAAAGUAAAUGCAAAUGGUUCACUGCAAGGUCCAAGCCACUCAUAAGACUCAAGAAUAGAAAGGCUCAAAAAAACCAAACAAACACAGUCCUGGAAAAGUAUUCUUUGAACAAGAAAAACGCAUGCAGAAGGCGUGGAACAGCUCAUGAUCCAAAGCAUACCACAACAUCUGUAAAACACGAUGGAGGCAGUGUGAUGGUUUGGGUAUGCAUAGCUGCCGUAGGCACUGGGACACUAGUGUUUAAUGAUGAUGUGACACAGGACAGAAGAAGCUGAAUUAAUUCUGUGGUCAGAGACAUACUGUCUGCUCAAAUCCAGCUAAAUACAGUCAAAUUAAAUGGGCGGUUUUUAAUAAUACAGAUUGACAAUGAACCAAAACCUACACCCAAAGCAACCCAGGAGUUUAUUCAAGCAAACAAGUGGAAUAUUCUUGAAUGGCCUGGUCAGCCACCAUAUCUUGAUCCAGCUGAGCAUUUCACUUGUUGAAGACUAAACUUCAGACAGAAAGGCCCACAGACAAACAGAAAUUGGAUGCCGCUGCAGUAGAGGCCUGGCAGAGCAUCAAAAAGCAGGAAACACAGCAUGUCCAUGAGUUCAAGACCUCAGGCUGUCAUUGCCAGCAAAGUUGGAUCACUGCAGUAAUGGAGCAUUUGAAGGCACUUUGUCUCAGGCUGCCUCCUCCUUCAUGGACCUUCUCGAUAUUUCAAACAUCUCCACUGCUGUGAAGGAUGCUGUUCACCUGUUGGUCAGCGCGUUGGACACUCUGCCAGAUGAAGUGCCGCCACUUCUGACCUGCUGCAGUCCAGACACUCUGAGAGUGCUCAACCAGUUGGUGGAUGGUCUGAAGGACGGUCGGGCCACACUGCCAGAGUCCCUGCCCGUCCCCCUGCAGGAGGGAGGGGAGCUCCGCUGGGCGGCCGAGUUCAUCUGUUUGAACGAUCAGAAGCUGAAAGAGUUGAGUGACGGCUGGGACCGGCCCGAGCUGCCCCCAGAGGUUCUGCUGGAGGUUCUGUGCCUCGCUGUGCAGGGACUCAGCCUCCUGAUGCAGCCCACAACAAACCCUUAAUGUCAGCUGCUGUGAUCUUUGUUAACCUGUUUUCACAGCAGCGUUCUGCAUCUUUGAACGUUUCUGCCAUUGUUUCCUGAACUUUCAUCUGUCAAAGAUCAAAAACAAAAAGAAUAAUCUAAUAAAAUAUAUAUAUAUUUUUAAAUAAAUAAAACUUCAUACUUUUAUGUUCGGCUCAUGGUUUUAAUAUUUUAUUAGUUUUUGCUGCACUCCUUUAUGUUCUGUCCUGUUCCCUCCUCUGUGCCCCUGACCCUGUUUCCAUGCUUGUUU